AUCCUACGGGACGCAGCAGUGAGGAAUAUUGGUCAAUGGGCGGGAGCCUGAACCAGCCAUGCCGCGUGAAGGCGAGUGCCCUACGGGCGUUAAACUUCUUUUGUGCGGGAGCAAUAAGGGCCACGUGUGGCCCGAUGAGAGUACCGCACGAAUAAGCAUCGGCUAACUCCGUGCCAGCAGCCGCGGUAAUACGGAGGAUCCAAGCGUUAUCCGGAUUUAUUGGGUUUAAAGGGUGCGUAGGCGGUUUUAUAAGUUAGAGGUGAAAUCUCGGGGCUCAACUCCGAAAUUGCCUCUAAUACUGUAGG
rnacentral:rRNA from 1 species